UUUACCAAAAACAUCACCUCUAGCAUAAAAAAUAUUAGAGGCACUGCCUGCCCAGUGACUUUAGUUCAACGGCCGCGGUAUCCUGACCGUGCAAAGGUAGCAUAAUCACUUGUUCUCUAAAUAAGGACUUGUAUGAACGGCUCCACGAGGGUUUAACUGUCUCUUACUUUCAAUCAGUGAAAUUGACCUUCCCGUGAAGAGGCGGGAAUAAAAAAAUAAGACGAGAAGACCCUAUGGAGCUUUAAUUAAUCAACUCACAAAUUAAAAUAACACUCUAUUAGAAACAAACUUAUUAUUACUGAGUUGACAAUUUAGGUUGGGGUGACCUCGGAAUAAAAACUAACUCCCGAGAAAAUUUAAAUUAAGACAGACAAGUCAAAAUUAUUCCAUUAUAUACUGAUCCGUUAUAAACGAUCAACGAAACAAGUUACCCUAGGGAUAACAGCGCAAUCCUAUUUAAGAGUCCAUAUCGACAAUUAGGGUUUACGACCUCGAUGUUGGAUCAGGACAUCCCAAUGGUGCAGCCGCUAU
rnacentral:rRNA from 1 species